rnacentral:lncRNA from 1 species
UUGAAAACCUGGAUGCAAAAUUUACAUCCAGGUUUCCACUUGUGUGGUUUGGAAUGUUCUUAACCUAUAAUGUAUCUGCACAAACAUAAUAUUAGAUUUACUUUAUGUUUUUUACAGAUAAUUCAAUUAUAAUUAAUUGGUGGAGCGUCUUCUAAAGAUAGAAUACACAAAAUUAUGCUGAGCUUCUUCUACUGUAUUCACUGGACCAAAAGAAACCUCGGUUAAUGAAACAUUGUUUGACUUUCUAAAUUACG